UCGAGGAUCUUCGGCAAUGGGCGCAAGCCUGACCGAGCGACGCCGCGUGGGCGAUGAAGGCCUUCGGGUUGUAAAGCCCUGUCGGGGGGGAGAAAAGGGGCAACCCUUGAUCGACCCCCGGAGGAAGCACGGGCUAAGUUCGUGCCAGCAGCCGCGGUAAGACGAACCGUGCUAACGUUGUUCGGAAUCACUGGGCUUAAAGGGCGCGUAGGCGGGAGGUCAAGUCUGGGGUGAAAGCCCGCGGCUCAACCGCGGAAGUGCCUUGGAUACUGGCCCCCUCGAGGGAGGUAGGGGCGUGUGGAACUUCCGGUGGAGCGGUGAAAUGCGUAGAGAUCGGAAGGAACGCCGGUGGCGAAAGCGACACGCUGGACCUCUUCUGACGCUGAGGCGCGAAAGCCAGGGGAGCAAACGG
rnacentral:rRNA from 1 species